GGGGGCAUGGUUUAAUGGUAUAACAUCUUCUUAGCAUUGAGUUUCGAUCCUGAGUUGGAGAAGGUUCCGGGUUCGAUUCCCGGUGCCUCCA
rnacentral:tRNA from 1 species